CAGCAGCCACGGGAAUACGGAGGGUGCAAGCGUUAAUCGGAAUUACUGGGCGUAAAGCGUGCGUAGGCGGUUCGUUAAGUCUGUUGUGAAAGCCCCGGGCUCAACCUGGGAAUGGCAAUGGAUACUGGCGAGCUAGAGUGUGUCAGAGGAUGGUGGAAUUCCCGGUGUAGCGGUGAAAUGCGUAGAGAUCGGGAGGAACAUCAGUGGCGAAGGCGGCCAUCUGGGACAACACUGACGCUGAGGCACGAAAGCGUGGGGAGCAAACAGGAUUAGAUACCCGCGUAGUCCCUGUCUCUUAUAC
rnacentral:rRNA from 1 species